ensembl:lncRNA PPP1R3B-DT PPP1R3B divergent transcript
CAUGUCAGGGAACAUGGCAGGAAUUGGCAAAGACGCAGAGUUCGUUGACUCUUGAACAAUGUGGGGGCUUGGGGCACCAACCCCCUGUGCAGUUGAAAAUCGACAUAUAACUUUGACUCGCCAAAAACUUCACUACAAUAGCCUGCUGCCAACCUGAAGUCUUACCAAUAACAUCAACAGUCAAUUAAACAUAUUACUAGGCUGAAAAGGAGAAGGAAGUGAAGGGGUUGGUCUUGCCGUCUCACGAGUGGCAGAGGCAGGAGAAAAUCCAAAUUAGAGACGGGGUUCCACCGUGUUAGCCAGGAUGGUCUCGAUCUCCUGACCUCGUCAUCCUCCCGCCUUGGCCUCCCAAAGUGCUGGGAUUACAGGCUUGAGCCACCGCGCCCCGCUCUUUCGUGUUCCAAAGGCUUUUUAAAUAAACUUCCACUCCUGUCCUGGAUUCUGCUUUAUGGCCCUCAGUCGAAUUCUUUCUUCUGAGGAGGCAAGGACUGAAGUUGCUUCUGACCAGUACAGGAGAAAACGAAUACAGCAGGGAUGACUUCCACCAGCUCCACUUUGCAGCUCUGAGGUGUAUUAAAAAUGACCUGGAAGAAGUCAUGCCACGGGCCAGACCUUAACAUUCCUUUCGGCUUACCCCAGGAUUUCAGACGAAGCUUCACUUUCCUAACCAGUCACAAAUCAGAGAAUUUUUGAUUCCACCUAUGACCUGUGAGCUCCUGCUUCAAGAUAUUCCACCUUUUUUAGGCCAAACCAAUGUAUAACCUCCAAGUGUCGAUUUACACUUUCGACUGUAACUUCUGCUUUCCUGAGAUUUACCCCUGCCUUUAAAAACCCUUGCUUGUAAUCCCUCAGGGAGGCCGUGUAUUUAUUAAUCAUGAGCUGCCCAAUUCUCCUUGCUUGGUGCCCUGCAAAUAAACACCCUCUUUUCUCCCACUG